UACAGAGGUCUCAACCGUUGUUCGGAUUCAUUGGGCGUAAAGGGUGCGUAGGCGGUCGGGUAAGUCGGAUGUGAAAUCUCAGGGCUCAACCCUGAAACUGCAUUCGAUACUGCCUGGCUAGGGUACUGGAGAGGAGACUGGAAUUUACGGUGUAGCAGUGAAAUGCGUAGAUAUCGUAAGGAAGACCAGUGGCGAAGGCGACACGCUGGGCCGUACCUGACACUGAUGCGCGACAGCAUGGGGAGCAAACAGG
rnacentral:rRNA from 1 species